CAUUACGGGAGGCAGCAGUCGAGAAUAUUCGACAAUGGGCGAAAGCCUGAUCGAGCGACACCGCGUGCAGGAUGAAGGCCUUCGGGUCGUAAACUGCGGUAGCUAGGGAGGAACGCAAGUGACUGUACCUAGCGGAAAGAGGUGGGUAACUACGUGCCAGCACCAGCGGUAAUACGUAGACCUCAAGCGUUAUCCGAAUUUAUUGGGCGUAAAGCGCAUGUAGGAGGUUUCGUGCGUCUGCGGUUAAAGCCCACUGCUCAACGGUGGAAGUGCCGCGGAUACGGCGAGACUAGAGGAGGUUAGAGGUGCAUAGAACGCACGGUGUAGGGGUGAAAUCCGUUGAUAUCGUGCGGAAUACCAAAGGCGAAGGCAGUGCACUGGGACCUUCCUGACUCUGAGAUGCGAAAGCGUGGGGAGCAAACACCACGGAUUAGAUACCCUUGUAGUCCACGCCCUAAACGAUGCCUGCUUGCUGUUUCGAGUAUCGACCCUCGGAGUGGCGGAGCUAACGCGUUAAGCAGGCCGCCUGGGAAGUACGGCCGCAAGGCUAAAACUCAAAGGAAUUG
rnacentral:rRNA from 1 species